GAACUUGAAGCGUCGGAUCAUCGCGCCUAUCUUCUCAAGUGCCGGCUUAGCGGCCGGCUAUGGCGAUAAACUUUGCCGUGAAAUAGGUUGCAUGGACCCGGGGGCGGUACCCGGCGGCUCCACCACGAGGCGUUCAGCAUCUCCAAUGGACGCUUCCUGAUGGGGCCGAAACAGCUUCGACAUGUGCUGAAAGACGGUGACUUCGCCCGGCCUGACAUAAGCCGUAAAACUGGGUCAAAACCGAUAAAUGCCAACGACAACGAGGCAUUUGCUCUUGCUGCGUAACCAGUAGCCUAACGGCGAACGUUACACAGGCCAAAAGCGGGGUUCGGGGCGCACCUGUCAACAGAAGCGCCAGUCC
rnacentral:tmRNA from 2 species